rnacentral:rRNA from 1 species
CGAAACUUUACACUGCACGCCAGUGCGAUAAGGGGACUCCAAGUGCGAGGGCAUAGAGCCCUCGCUUUUCUGUACCGUAAGGUGGUACAGGAAUAAGUGCUGGGCAAGACCGGUGCCAGCCGCCGCGGUAAUACCGGCAGCACGAGUGAUGGCCGCUCUUAUUGGGCUAAAGCGUCCGUAGCUGGCCGCGCAAGUCCAUCGGGAAAUCCGCACGCUUAACGUGCGGGCGUCCGGUGGAAACUGCGUGGCUUGGGACCGGAAGAUCCAGAGGGUACGUCCGGGGUAGGAGUGAAAUCCCGUAAUCCUGGACGGACCACCGGUGGCGAAAGCGCUCUGGAAAGACGGAUCCGACGGUGAGGGACGAAAGCUCGGGUCACGAACCGGAUUAGAUACCCGGGUAGUCCGAGCUGUAAACGAUGUCUGCUAGGUGUGCCACAGGCUACGAGCCUGUGGUGUGCCGCAGGGAAGCCGUGAAGCAGACCGCCUGGGAAGUACGUCCGCAAGGAUGAAACUUAAAGGAAUUGGCGGGGGAGCACUACAACCGGAGGAGCCUGCGGUUUAAUUGGACUCAACGCCGGACAUCUCACCAGCAUCGACAGUAGCAAUGAAGAUCAGUGUGAUGAGCUUAUCGGAGCUACUGAGAGGAGGUGCAUGGCCGCCGUCAGCUCGUACCGUGAGGCGUCCUGUUAAGUCAGGCAACGAGCGAGACCCGCACUCCUAAUUGCCAGCAACACCCUUGUGGUGGUUGGGUACAUUAGGAGGACUGCCAGUGCCAAACUGGAGGAAGGAACGGGCAACGGUAGGUCAGUAUGCCCCGAAUGUGCUGGGCAACACGCGGGCUACAAUGGUCGAGACAGUGGGAUGCAACCCCGAGAGGGGGCGCUAAUCUCCGAAACUCGAUCGUAGUUCGGAUUGCGGACUGAAACUCGUCCGCAUGAAGCUGGAUUCGGUAGUAAUCGCCGUUCAGAAGACGGCGGUGAAUACGUCCCUGCUCCUUGCACACACCGCCCGUCAAAGCACCCGAGUGAGGUCCGGAUGAGCCCCCGGUAUGGGGG